UACGAAGGGGGCUAGCGUUGCUCGGAAUCACUGGGCGUAAAGCGCACGUAGGCGGCUUUUUAAGUCAGGGGUGAAAUCCUGGAGCUCAACUCCAGAACUGCCUUUGAUACUGAGAAGCUUGAGUCCGGGAGAGGUGAGUGGAACUGCGAGUGUAGAGGUGAAAUUCGUAGAUAUUCGCAAGAACACCAGUGGCGAAGGCGGCACUCUGGGCCGGUACUGACGCUGAGGAGCGAAAGCGUGGGGAGCGAACAGG
rnacentral:rRNA from 1 species